AAGGAAUCUUCCGCAAUGGACGAAAGUCUGACGGAGCAACGCCGCGUGAGUGAUGAAGGCUUUCGGGUCGUAAAACUCUGUUGUUAGGGAAGAACAAGUGCUAGUUGAAUAAGCUGGCACCUUGACGGUACCUAACCAGAAAGCCACGGCUAACUACGUGCCAGCAGCCGCGGUAAUACGAAGGUGGCAAGCGUUAUCCGGAAUUAUUGGGCGUAAAGCGCGCGCAGGUGGUUUCUUAAGUCUGAUGU
rnacentral:rRNA from 1 species